UACGUAGGGGGCAAGCGUUGUCCGGAUUUAUUGGCGUAAAGAGCGUGUAGGCGGCCAGGUAGGUGGGUUGUGAAAACUGGAGGCUCAACCUUCCAGACGUUCGAACCCAAACCCCCUGGCUAGAGUCCGGAAGAGGAGAGUGGAAUUCCUGGUGUAGCGGUGAAAUGCGCAGAUAUUAGAAAGAACACCAGUGGCGAAGGCGGCUCACUGGCCCGGUACUGACGCUGAGGCGCGAAAGCGUGGGGAGCAAACAGGG
rnacentral:rRNA from 1 species